GAAAUGCGAAAAGUAAUGCGAAUUGCAGAAUUCAGCGAGUCAUCGAAUCUUUGAACGCACAUUGCGCCCGCUGGUAUUCCGGCGGGCAUGCCUGUCCGAGCGUCUUCACACAUCCUCGAGCGACUCUCUUUUGGUCCUCGGCCAUUGAGGGAAGUGCUCGGUCAUUGGACCCUUGUCCCCGAACGCGCUUGCGUCGCGGGAGGUCUCGAAAUGCAUCGCCGGAGAACGUUUGCAGCGAUUGAGCCGGUCGUGCCAGAGUUGUGCGAUCGGGUGCUCCUUCGCCUGAUGUUCUCCUGGAAAUUCAGGAGUCAACGCUUCUUCGACCUCGGAUCAGGUAGGGUUACCCGCUGAACUUAA
rnacentral:misc_RNA from 1 species